rnacentral:rRNA from 1 species
CAGCCCCCCCCCCGUAACUCGAGCAGUCCAAGCGGUGUCCAUGUAUAUUUGGCUUAAAGCGCUCGUAGCCGGCUAGAUAAGUCUUUAGUGAAAUCCCAGAGCUUAACUCUGGGAAGCGCUAAAGAAACUGUUUAGCUUGGGGACGGGAGAAGCCACGGGUACUUCUGGGGUAGUGGUAAAAUGCUGUAAUCCUAGAAGGACCAACGGUAGCGAAAGCGCGUGGCUAGAACGUGCCCGACGGUGAGGGGCGAAGGCCAGGGGCGCGACCCGGAUUAAAUACCCGGUUAGUCCUGGCUGUAAAUCAUGCGAAUUAGGUGUCCCAUACCCCACGCGAGUAUGGGUUGCCGUAGGAAAACCGUUAAAUUCGCCGCCUGGGGAGUACGGCCGCAAGACUGAAACUUAAAGGAAUUGGCG